UACGAACCACGUUUGUCAGACAAUCAAUAUAAGGCCAGUUGCAAAAUCGUCGGAUUGAGAAGAUUGUAAAUUUACUAUCCACAUCACAACCAUAACAAAGACUCAAAUGAAUGACAGAAAAUAUAGCACGGGAUAUAAUAUUAAUAAAACAAAAUAACACGCAGUCGAAUUCAAUUCUAUGAAAUUAAUCAGAUUUGCUGAAUUGUCUUAUUUGUUAAUAUUUAGCUUAUGACUUAAUCGCUGGGGUUGUCGAAGCUUACUUCAACGUUUGGCCGUAUCACUACAAAGAUGAUUACUGUGCUGACGGCAAGACCACUGAUCCUAAAGGCUGCUAUAUCAGCAAGGGAGAAAAGAGAGUCAUUUCUCGGACACUUUGGAUGGACGACAACGUAGAGGAGACUUACUACGUGGCGAAUGUAACCCUGCGUAAUGAGGAUGGCGAACUGUUGUUCUGUGCUAGGUGGAGGGGGAAGUUGUACUAAACUUCAUGACGUCAUGACGUUGUCAUGUGACCAAAGUGGGUUCACAUUUACUGCAGACUUGUCGAUAGGACACUGAAAUGUCAUUAUUUCGAAGACAAACGUAAUCAUUAUCACGGACAAUGUAAUCUUAGUGAGACAUUUCCAUAGGGUUGUAAUUACCCCUAAAGCCAUUUUCCCUUAUCCUACCCCAUGAAUUUUGGUAUAUUUAUGUUUUGGACAACGAGCAAUCAAUCUAGCCUAUUUGCGACGUAACUUUGCCUCUAAAUAGGAGUUGUGACAUUAAGGAGACAUUGAAAUGUCUCCUUAAUGUCCAGCGUCUCCAACAAGAUGUUUUCUUAAGUAUACAUUAACAGGAGUUGUACUCAGAAUAUUGCCAUUAUGUUGAUUAUCAACAGUGUAAACAGAAACCAAAUCCACAUGAUUAUUAGAAAACUGGUUUUUUUUCUAAUUUCUUUAAAAGACCCUCAUUAAAUUAUUGUGAAUUUCGCAAAGC